AGCAUAGUGGCGCAGUGGAAGCGUGCUGGGUCAAUAGCCCAGAGGUCCGUGGAUUGAAAUCACGCUCUGCGA